CUGCCGACUCUGCUCUGCCUCUUCGCCUGGCAACUGCGGAAAGAGUCAGCAAGCUUUGAAAAGGUCCCUGUGUUCAUAAUAGAAGUCUGAGGAUUGAGUACAGCAUAUGAGCUAAAGAAAGGAGAUAAAAUGAACCUGUGGAUAUUCUUCUUAUGCGAUAUUUAUUCUGAAUGAAGCAUUAGAACAGCAAAUAGUUUCAUUUUGUGACAAAAUCGGGAUUACUCCAGCUGACCACUUUGACUUUCUUCUAACUUCUUGCAUUUGGU